AGAGUUUGAUCCUGGCUCAGAGUGAACGCUGGCGGCAGGCCUAACACAUGCAAGUCGAGCGGCAGCGGGCUGUAGCAAUACAGUGCCGGCGAGCGGCGGACGGGUGAGGAAUACAUCGGAAUCUACCUUGUCGUGGGGGGAUAACGUAGGGAAACUUACGCUAAUACCGCAUACGAACUACGGUUGAAAGCGGAGGACCGCAAGGCUUCGCGCGAUUGGAUGAGCCGAUGUCGGAUUAGCUAGUUGGCGGGGUAAUGGCCCACCAAGGCGACGAUCCGUAGCUGGUCUGAGAGGAUGAUCAGCCACACUGGAACUGAGACACGGGUCCAGACUCCUACGGGAGGCAGCAGUGGGGGAAUAUUGGACAAUGGGCGCAAGCCUGAUCCAGCCAUGCCGCGUGUGUGAAGAAGGCCUUCGGGUUGUAAAGCACUUUUGUUGGGGAAGAAAAGCCGCUGGUUAAUACCCGGUGGUCAUGACGGUACCCAAAGAAUAAGCACCGGCUAACUUCGUG
rnacentral:rRNA from 1 species